rnacentral:tRNA from 1 species
GGCCCUGUAGUGAAGUUCAUAUUGAGUUGCAAGCUCAUUGAUGUGCGUGAGAGCGUACCGGGGUCU